GCUGGGUGUGGUGGCGUGCACCUGUAAUCCCAGCUACUCGGGAGGCUGAGGCAGGAGAAUUGCUUGAACUCAGGAGGCUGAGGCUGCAGUGAGCUGAGAUUGUGCCACUGCACUCCAGCCUGGGCGACAGAGUAAGACUCAGUCUCAA
rnacentral:SRP_RNA from 1 species